rnacentral:misc_RNA from 1 species
GAUGAAGAACGCAGUGAAAUGCGAUACGUAAUGUGAAUUGCAGAAUUCAGUGAAUCAUCGAGUCUUUGAACGCACAUUGCGCCCUCUGGUAUUCCGGAGGGCAUGCCUGUCCGAGCGUCAUUGCUGCCCUCAAGCACGGCUUGUGUGUUGGGCUCCGUCCCCCGAUCCCGGGGGACGGGCCCGAAAGGCAGCGGCGGCACCGCGUCCGGUCCUCGAGCGUAUGGGGCUUUGUCACCCGCUCUGUAGGCCCGGCCGGCGCUUGCCGAUCAACCAAAUUUUUAUCCAGGUUGACCUCGGAUCAGGUAGGGAUACCCGCUGAACUUAAGCAUAUCAUAAGCGGAGGA